GAUGAACGCUGGCGGCGUGCCUCAUGCAUGCAAGUCGAACGGGGACACUUUAAGUAGCAAUACUUGGGGUGUCCUAGUGGCGAUCGGGUGAGUAACACGUAGGUGACCUACCCCGAAGAGGGGGAUAACGGCCCGAAAGGGCUGCUAAUACCCCAUGUGAUUAACGAUUCAGUUCGUUAAUUAAAGCUUCCGCAAGGAGUGUGCUUCGGGAGGGGCCUGCGGCGGAUUAGAUUGUUGGUGGGGUAAUGGCCUACCAAGUCGAUGAUCCGU
rnacentral:rRNA from 1 species